rnacentral:misc_RNA from 1 species
AAAGAAUCUGCUGGUGCAUUGUAUCAUCAACAAUUAUCUCGGCAGUUGGCAGAUUUUGCGAAAAUUCCACUGGAGAGAGCUGGAGGAAUGAUUAAUCUUAUUGACAUCUAUUGCCUUUUCAACCGGGCUCGUGGAACAGAAUUGAUCUCACCUGACGAUUUGCUGCGUGCGUGUUCUCUCUGGGAGAAGUUUGACGUACCA